rnacentral:sRNA from 1 species
UACUCUAACGACCCCGUCCGAGGCAGGC